AUUGAACGCUGGCGGCAGGCCUAACACAUGCAAGUCGAACGAGUGGCGGACGGGUGAGUAAUGUCUGGGAAACUGCCCGAUGGAGGGGGAUAACUACUGGAAACGGUAGCUAAUACCGCAUACCAUCGGAUGUGCCCAGAUGGGAUUCGCUAGUAGGUGGGGGAACGGCUCACCUAGGCGACGCGCCCUAGAUGGUCUGAGAGGAUGACAAGCCACACGUGAACUGAGACACGGGCCAGACUCCUACGGGAGGCAGAAGGGGGGAAUAUUGCACAAGGGGCGCAAGCCGGAGGCAGCCAUGCCGCGUGUAUGAAGAAGGCCUUCGGGUUGUAAAGUACUUUCAGCGAGGAGGCGUUACUCGCAGAAGAAGCACCGGCUAACUCCGUGCCAGCAGCCGCGGUAAUUC
rnacentral:rRNA from 1 species